GACGAACGCUGGCGGCGUGCCUAAUGCAUGCAAGUCGCACGGAUCAUCCCUUCGGGGAUGGUGAGUGGCGCACGGCUGAGGAACACGUGGGAAUGUGCCCAAGGGUGGGGGAUAACGUGCCGAAAGGCGUGCUAAUCCCGCAUACGCUGCGCAAGCAGGAAAGUCGCAAGGCGCCCCUGGAGCAGCCCGCGACCCAUCAGGUAGUUGGGGGGGUAAUGGCCUCCCAAGCCAUUGACGGGUAGCUGGUCUGAGAGGACAGACAGCCAGACUGGGACUGAGACACGGCCCAGACUCCUACGGGAGGCAGCAGCAAGGAAUUUUCGGCAAUGGGCGCAAGCCUGACCGAGCAACGCCGCGUGGAGGAUGACGGCCUUCGGGUUGUAAACUCCUUUUCUGGGGGACGAAACUGACGGUACCCCAGGAAGAAGCCCCGGCUAACUCUGUG
rnacentral:rRNA from 1 species